rnacentral:lncRNA from 1 species
CUUAUUAGAGAAGAAAGAUAAUAUUUUUAGCUUAAGAAAAACAAUAUAAAAUAGACAUUUCAUAAAAGCAUAUUUAAAUGCACCUACAUUGUUAUUUUAUUCCUGUGUUCCAUAAUUGUUAAGUCUAGUUUCCCAGCGCAGAUGAUCUAUCAUAUAAAUUGACUUGGAAUAUAAUUGAUGUUCUCCUCAUAUCAGUAUACUUCAAUUUAUGUUUUAGCCAUUAAAAAUAUAUAUUCAGCAUUUCUGCGCUGAUUAAAUACUAUAAUAAAUCUGAUUUUACUGAAAAAGUCAAUGCAAAUUUAUUUUUUAAAAUUGUAAUAUAUUAGUUGUCUCUGAAAUUUUUUUUAUAAUCAUUUGAACAUUUGAAAAGCAGACAAAGCAAAAAUACAGACUAAGGAAAUAUCUGUAUUAUUCUUUGAGUAUUUUGGUAAACUGUUUCUGUGAACACUUUUAUAAAUAAACUCUUUACCCUUCCUGGGAGCCUUGCAAUUGUGACUGACAGUUUUCUUAGUGUGUCCGGAAUUGGUGGGUUCUUGGUCUCAGUCACUUCAAGAAUGAAGCCACAGACCCUCACGGUGAGUGUUACAGUUCUUAAAGGCAGCGUGUCUGGAGUUUGUUCUUUCUGACGUUCGGAUGUGUUCGGAGUUUCUUCCUUCUGCUGGGUUCGCGGUCUCACUGGCUAAGGAGUAAAGCUGCAGACCUUCACGACUUGGAGUCUUGCUUUGUUGCCUGAGCUGGUCUCGACCUCCUGGCCUCAAACAAUCCUCCUUCGUCCGCCUCCCAAAACACUGGAAUUACAGAUGCCAAAAAAGGGAGUUUCAACCAGACAAGAGUUUAGGAGAGUAUUUUGAUGGAAAGAAGAUAGCAACCAUAGGACUCGGUUGUAGACAUCCAGAAGAUGGUGCAAAACAGUAGCUGCAUUUCAGCAGAAGCCCAAUGGAUGUGGAAAACAAUGGCUUAACAGAGGUAACAGGCUGCCAUGAGCUUCAUAAAAACAAAUUCAUGACACUAAUUGACUUAUUUAAUAUGAGAAGAAUCAAGAUUUUCACACUCAAGUUGAGGACAUACUUAAAUUAGCCAACCAAAUAAAGGUAUGUAAUACAACAAUACCCUUUUUGGAAGCUAGGGAAGCAGUAUUUUUUACUGGUAGAGAUCAAAAAAUUUUCCCUAAGUGAGUGUUGUAUACUUUGUGAAUGUGUGAAUAUAUGAAUGAGUCAGAGGGCAAGUCUUUAGGAAUUUUCUUUGUAACUCUGAGUAAAACAGUAGUGUCAAUAUUCCCUUGGGUUAAUGUAAGCAGAUCUGCUAUUAAUACUAGGCAAAAAAAGGAAAUAAUUCUUGAACUUUCUCAUAUUUUAUAUAUUAUGGUAAAUUAUGCUGAAUGAAUUUUAAAAAUUAGUAAUUGUGAAAUGUAAAUUUAAUUUUCUUAAAAUAUAUCAGGACUAUACUAUAGUUUAAAAUUCAUGAAAAAUUAUAAGAAGUUUACAUUUAUUGACAAAAAUUAAAACUAUAGAACUCUUGAAUCACCAAACCUAAUUUCAUACUUCGGCGAUAAUUCUGUGUGAACAGUAUUUCCAAAGAGAUGAAUUAAUGUAUGUAGCCUAUUAAAGUUCCUUGUGAGAGUGAGAUAAUUCUAUAAAUACAUAAAGAAGUUUAUAAUUAAACAAAACAACUUUCAUUAUAUAUUGACACUGCAUGAUUAAUAACUGCUUUCUAAAUUUGUGAUGCUUACUAUAUAUACUUGUAUUACAUUUCAAAUAUUAACAUAAUUUUCUCAACAUAUAUUUAAACAUGUGUUUUCUAUAAGAUACAUGCUAGAUAGUGUAAGUCUCUACAUGAAGCCGAAACUGUAGAACCUUCUCCUUUUAGGGAAUUUAUACUACAAUUUUAGACUGCCUUCUGAUGUUAAUUUAAACUUAUUUCAAAUAGAAUACUUAAUUAGUAAAACAAAUCCAACUCUACAGCAUGUUUGGAUGAAAAAACAAUAAAGACUGCAUCCAGAGAAAAAACACCCAAUAUAGAAAACAACAAUUUUAUAUAUCUUUCUCUACUUAUAUUCUUACCAUUCUGUUUUAUAAUUCCAAGUUGGAUCUAUUUCUGUACUCAAAAACAGAAUAGUAUUUGCCACUCUUCAAAGACAGGAUGCUUUUUUAGAAAUUUGUGUCUUUUUUUCAUAUGGUUUUCUCUUUCCGUCUUCCACCUAUUAAACAUAGAUAGCAUUCAAUACCUUGGUUAAGUAUGAUAUUUUAUGUGAAGCUUUCUGUGACCAUAAAAGAUCAUUAAAUUUCUUCCUCCUUUGAAUUUUAUAUAUUUGCG